rnacentral:rRNA from 1 species
AACGAACGCUGGCGGCAUGCCUAACACAUGCAAGUCGAACGGGACCUUAGGGUCUAGUUGCGCAUGGGUGCGUCACGUGUCGGAACCUGCCUUUAGGUUCGGAAUUAUUCUGUGUAAUUUGAGCUAAUACCGGGUGAUGUCUUCGGAUCCAACAUUCAUCGCCUUUAGAUGGGCACGCGUUGUUUUAGCCGGUUGGGGUGGUAAAGGCCUACUAAGGCUACGAUCCAUAGCUGGUUAGAGAGGAUGCUCAGCCACACUGGGACUGGGACACGGCCCAGACUAUUGCGGGAUGCAGCAGUGGGGAAUAUUGGACAAUGGGCUAGAUCCAGAUCCAGUUAGGCCGCGAGAGUGAUUAAGGUGUUAGAGAUAUAAAGCUCUUUUACCCGAGAUGAUAAUGACAGUAUCGGGAGAAUAAGCACCGGCUAACUCCGUG